rnacentral:rRNA from 1 species
AGAUUGAACGCUGGCGGCAUGCCUUACACAUGCAAGUCGAACGGUAGAGUAGCAAUACUUGAGAGUGGCGAACGGGUGAGUAAUAUAUCGGAACGUGCCCAGUCGUGGGGGGAUAACGUAGAGAAAUUUACGCUAAUACCGCAUACGAUCUAAGGAUGAAAGCGGGGGACCGUAAGGCCUCGCGCGAUUGGAGCGGCUGAUAUCAGAUUAGGUUGUUGGUGAGGUAAAAGCUCACCAAGCCGACGAUCUGUAGCUGGUUUGAGGGAACGACCAGCCACACUGGGACUGAGACACGGCCCAGACUCCGUACGGGAGGCAGCAGGUGGGUAAUUUGGACAAGUGGGACGAAAGCCUGA